rnacentral:rRNA from 1 species
GGAGCAAACAGGAUUAGAUACCCUGGUAGUCCACGCUGUAAACGAUGAAUGUUAAAUAUGGGAAGUUUACUUUCUGUAUUAUAGCUAACGCGUUAAACAUUCCGCCUGGGGACUACGGUCGCAAGAUUAAAACUCAAAGGAAUUGACGGGGACCCGCACAAGCGGUGGAGCAUGUGGCUUAAUUCGAUGCAACGCGAAAAACCUUACCACUCCUUGACAUGGAAAUUAUACCUAUUCGAAGGGAUAGGGUCGGUUCGGCCGGAUUUCACACAGGUGUUGCAUGGCUGUCGUCAGCUCGUGUCGUGAGAUGUUGGGUUAAGUCCCGCAACGAGCGCAACCCUCAUCCUUAGUUACCAUCAGGUAAUGCUGGGGACUUUAAGGAAACUGCCAGUGAUAAACUGGAGGAAGGUGGGGAUGAUGUCAAGUCAUCAUGGCCCUUAUGGAGUGGGCUACACACGUGCUACAAUGGUGGCUACAAUGGGCUGCAAAGUCGCGAGGCUAAGCUAAUCCCUUAAAAGCCAUCUCAGUUCGGAUUGUACUCUGCAACUCGAGUGCAUGAAGUUGGAAUCGCUAGUAAUCGUGGAUCAGCACGCCACGGUGAAUACGUUCUCGGGUCUUGUACACACUGCCCGUCACGCCAUGGGAAUUGGUUUCACUCGAAGCUAACGACCUAACCGCAAGGAGGGAGUUAUUUAAAGUGGGAUCGGUGACUGGGGUG